UGUGAGCUCGAUGAGUAGGGCGGGACACGUGGUAUCCUGUCUGAAUAUGGGGGGACCAUCCUCCAAGGCUAAAUACUCCUGACUGACCGAUAGUGAACCAGUACCGUGAGGGAAAGGCGAAAAGAACCCCGGCGAGGGGAGUGAAAAAGAACCUGAAACCGUGUACGUACAAGCAGUGGGAGCACAGAGCAAUCUGUGUGACUGCGUACCUUUUGUAUAAUGGGUCAGCGACUUAUAUUCUGUAGCAAGGUUAACCGAAUAGGGGAGCCGAAGGGAAACCGAGUCUUAACCGGGCGUUAAGUUGCAGGGUAUAGACCCGAAACCCGGUGAUCUAGCCAUGGGCAGGUUGAAGGUUGGGUAACACUAACUGGAGGACCGAACCGACUAAUGUUGAAAAAUUAGCGGAUGACUUGUGGCUGGGGGUGAAAGGCCAAUCAAACCGGGAGAUAGCUGGUUCUCCCCGAAAGCUAUUUAGGUAGCGCCUCGUGAAUUCAUCUCCGGGGGUAGAGCACUGUUUCGGCAAGGGGGUCAUCCCGACUUACCAACCCGAUGCAAACUGCGAAUACCGGAGAAUGUUAUCACGGGAGACACACGGCGGGUGCUAACGUCCGUCGUGAAGAGGGAAACAACCCAGACCGCCAGCUAAGGUCCCAAAGUCAUGGUUAAGUGGGAAACGAUGUGGGAAGGCCCAGACAGCCAGGAUGUUGGCUUAGAAGCAGCCAUCAUUUAAAGAAAGCGUAAUAGCUCACUGGUCGAGUCGGCCUGCGCGGAAGAUGUAACGGGGCUAAACCAUGCACCGAAGCUGCGGCAGCGACACUGUGUGUUGUUGGGUAGGGGAGCGUUCUGUAAGCCUGUGAAGGUGUGCUGUGAGGCAUGCUGGAGGUAUCAGAAGUGCGAAUGCUGACAUAAGUAACGAUAAAGCGGGUGAAAAGCCCGCUCGCCGGAAGACCAAGGGUUCCUGUCCAACGUUAAUCGGGGCAGGGUGAGUCGACCCCUAAGGCGAGGCCGAAAGGCGUAGUCGAUGGGAAACAGGUUAAUAUUCCUGUACUUGGUGUUACUGCGAAGGGGGGACGGAGAAGGCUAUGUUGGCCGGGCGACGGUUGUCCCGGUUUAAGCGUGUAGGCUGGUUUUCCAGGCAAAUCCGGAAAAUCAAGGCUGAGGCGUGAUGACGAGGCACUACGGUGCUGAAGCAACAAAUGCCCUGCUUCCAGGAAAAGCCUCUAAGCAUCAGGUAACAUCAAAUCGUACCCCAAACCGACACAGGUGGUCAGGUAGAGAAUACCAAGGCGCUUGAGAGAACUCGGGUGAAGGAACUAGGCAAAAUGGUGCCGUAACUUCGGGAGAAGGCACGCUGAUAUGUAGGUGAAGUCCCUCGCGGAUGGAGCUGAAAUCAGUCGAAGAUACCAGCUGGCUGCAACUGUUUAUUAAAAACACAGCACUGUGCAAACACGAAAGUGGACGUAUACGGUGUGACGCCUGCCCGGUGCCGGAAGGUUAAUUGAUGGGGUCAGCGCAAGCGAAGCUCUUGAUCGAAGCCCCGGUAAACGGCGGCCGUAACUAUAACGGUCCUAAGGUAGCGAAAUUCCUUGUCGGGUAAGUUCCGACCUGCACGAAUGGCGUAAUGAUGGCCAGGCUGUCUCCACCCGAGACUCAGUGAAAUUGAACUCGCUGUGAAGAUGCAGUGUACCCGCGGCAAGACGGAAAGACCCCGUGAACCUUUACUAUAGCUUGACACUGAACAUUGAGCCUUGAUGUGUAGGAUAGGUGGGAGGCUUUGAAGUGUGGACGCCAGUCUGCAUGGAGCCGACCUUGAAAUACCACCCUUUAAUGUUUGAUGUUCUAACGUGGACCCGUGAUCCGGGUUGCGGACAGUGUCUGGUGGGUAGUUUGACUGGGGCGGUCUCCUCCUAAAGAGUAACGGAGGAGCACGAAGGUUGGCUAAUCCUGGUCGGACAUCAGGAGGUUAGUGCAAUGGCAUAAGCCAGCUUGACUGCGAGCGUGACGGCGCGAGCAGGUGCGAAAGCAGGUCAUAGUGAUCCGGUGGUUCUGAAUGGAAGGGCCAUCGCUCAACGGAUAAAAGGUACUCCGGGGAUAACAGGCUGAUACCGCCCAAGAGUUCAUAUCGACGGCGGUGUUUGGCACCUCGAUGUCGGCUCAUCACAUCCUGGGGCUGAAGUAGGUCCCAAGGGUAUGGCUGUUCGCCAUUUAAAGUGGUACGCGAGCUGGGUUUAGAACGUCGUGAGACAGUUCGGUCCCUAUCUGCCGUGGGCGCUGGAGAACUGAGGGGGGCUGCUCCUAGUACGAGAGGACCGGAGUGGACGCAUCACUGGUGUUCGGGUUGUCAUGCCAAUGGCACUGCCCGGUAGCUAAAUGCGGAAGAGAUAAGUGCUGAAAGCAUCUAAGCACGAAACUUGCCCCGAGAUGAGUUCU
rnacentral:rRNA from 1 species